rnacentral:rRNA from 1 species
AAAUGAAUAGACGGGGGCCCGCACAAGCAGUGGAGCGUGUGGUUUAAUUCGACGCAACGCGAAGAACCUUACCAGGGUUUGACAUCAUGGUGCCGGCCGCGGAAACACGGUUUUCCGUAGCGAUACGGACGCCAUGACAGGUGUUGCAUGGUUGUCGUCAGCUCGUGUCGUGAGAUGUUGGGUUAAGUCCCGCAACGAGCGCAACCCUUAUCCAGUGUUGCCAUCGGGUAAUGCCGGGGACUCACUGGAGACUGCCGGAGACGAUCCGGAGGAAGGUGGGGAUGACGUCAAAUCAUCAUGGCCCUUAUGCCCUGGGCUACACACGCGCUACAAUGGCCGGUACAACGGGCUGCGAAGGAGCGAUCCGGAGCGAAUCCCUUAAAGCCGGCCCCAGUUGGGAUCGCAGGCUGCAACUCGCCUGCGUGAACACGGAAUUGCUAGUAAUCGCGAAUCAGCUACGUCGCGGUGAAUACGUUCCCGGGCCUUGUACACACCGCCCGU